rnacentral:rRNA from 1 species
UACAGAGGGUGCAAGCGUUGUUCGGAAUUAUUGGGCGUAAAGGGAGUGUAGGCGGUUUGUUAAGUCUUCUGUGAAAUCUACGGGCUUAGCCUGUAAAGUGCAGAGGAAACUGGCAGACUUGAGUGUCGGAGAGGAUAGGGGAAUACCCAGUGUAGAGGUGAAAUUCAUAGAGAUUGGGUGGAACACCAGUGGCGAAGGCGCCUGUCUGGCUGACAACUGACGCUGAGACUCGAAAGCAUGGGGAGCAAACAGG